AUUGAACGCUGGCGGCAUGCCUUACACAUGUAAGUCGAACGGUAACGGGCCUUCGGGUGCCGACGAGUGGCGAACGGGUGAGUAAUGCAUCGGAACGUACCUUUCAGUGGGGGAUAACGUAGCGAAAGUUACGCUAAUACCGCAUAUUCUGUGAGCAGGAAAGCAGGGGAUCGCAAGACCUUGCGCUGAUUGAGCGGCCGAUGUCAGAUUAGCUAGGUGGUGAGGUAAAGGCUCACCAAGGCGACGAUCUGUGGCGGGUCUGAGAGGAUGAUCCGCCAGACUGGGACUGGGACACGGCCCAGACUCCUACGGGAGGCAGCAGUGGGGAAUUGUGGACAAUGGGGGCAACCCUGAUCCAGCCAUGCCGCGUGAGUGAAGAAGGCCUUCGGGUUGUAAAGCUCUUUCGGCCGGGAAGAAAUCGCACAGGCUAAUACCUUGUGUGGAUGACGGUACCGGAAUAAGAAGCACCGGCUAACUACGUGCCAGCCGCCGCCGUAACAC
rnacentral:rRNA from 1 species